GGCUCCAUAGUGUACUGGUUAGCACGUCUGCUUUACACACAAAAGGUCCUGGGUUCAUGCCACAGGUGGAGCCA
rfam:Pteropus alecto contig98374, whole genome shotgun sequence.